GAUGAACGCUAGCUACAGGCUUAACACAUGCAAGUCGAGGGACCGGCGCACGGGUGAGUAACACGUAUCCAACCUGCCCUUUACUCGGGGAUAGCCUUUCGAAAGAAAGAUUAAUACCCGAUGUCAAGGAUGGGGAUGCGUUCCAUUAGGUUGUUGAUGAGGUAACGGCUCACCAAGCCUUCGAUGGAUAGGGGUUCGGAGAGGAAGGUCCCCGAGAUUGGAACUGAGACACGGUCCACACUCCUACGGGAGGCAGCAGUGAGGAAGAUUAGGCAAUGAGCGUUAGCCUGAACCAGCCAAGUAGCGUGAAGGAUGAAGGCUUAUGGGUCGUAAACUUCUUGUAUAGAAGAAUAUGUAUUAUAUGAAUAAGGAUCGGCUAACUCCGUGCCAGCCGCCGCGGUAAUAC
rnacentral:rRNA from 1 species